UGGGGAAUAUUGCACAAUGGGCGCAAGCCUGAUGCAGCCAUGCCGCGUGUGUGAAGAAGGCCUUCGGGUUGUAAAGCACUUUCAGCGGGGAGGAAGGCGACACGGUUAAUAACCGUGUUGAUUGACGUUACCCGCAGAAGAAGCACCGGCUAACUCCGUGCCAGCAGCCGCGGUAAUACGGAGGGUGCAAGCGUUAAUCGGAAUUACUGGGCGUAAAGCGCGCGUAGGUGGUUAGUUAAGUUGGAUGUGAAAUCCCCGGGCUCAACCUAGGAACUGCAUUCAAAACUGACUGACUAGAGUAUGGUAGAGGGUGGUGGAAUUUCCUGUGUAGCGGUGAAAUGCUUAGAUAUUACAUGGAAUACCAAUUGCGAAGGCAGGUUACUACUAAUGGAUUGACGCUGAUGGACGAAAGCGUGGGGAGCGAACA
rnacentral:rRNA from 1 species